rnacentral:rRNA from 1 species
AACGUAGGUGGCGAGCGUUAUCCGGAAUUACUGGGCGUAAAGCGUGUGCAGGCGGGCUAGCAAGUGGUGUAUGAAAGCUCCCGGCUCAACCGGGAAGGGUUAUGCCAGACUGCUAGUCUUGAGUGCGAGAGAGGAGCGUGGAAUUCCGGGUGUAGUGGUGAAAUGCGCAGAUAUCAGGAAGAACACCAAUGGCGAAGGCAGCUCUCUGGGACGGUACUGACGCUGAGACGCGAAAGCGUGGGGAGCGAACAGG